CAGCCGCCACGGUAAAACGAAGGGUGCAAGCGUUAAUCGGAAUUACUGGGCGUAAAGCGUGCGUAGGCGGUGAGUUAAGUCUGCUGUGAAAUCCCCGGGCUCAACCUGGGAAUGGCAGUGGAUACUGGCUCGCUAGAGUGUGUCAGAGGAUGGUGGAAUUCCCGGUGUAGCGGUGAAAUGCGUAGAGAUCAGGAGGAACACCAAUGGCGAAGGCAGCUCGCUGGGACGUGACUGACGCUGAGACGCGAAAGCGUGGGGAGCAAACAGGAUUAGAUACCCCUGUAGUCCCUGUCUCUUAUAA
rnacentral:rRNA from 1 species